UAAAAUAUUUCCAUCUCUCCAAGUCAAUGGGACCUCAUACUUAGCCUUCAACAACUUGUCUUGAACCUUCUUUAAUUGCCGUUGUUUUCAUAUUUAUUAAACACCCCUAUGGACCAAUUUUUCUUAUUAUAAACAAUUUCAUUUCAUUUAAGAAGCUUAUCUCUGGGUCGUGAUUAUUUGAACGGGUUAUCCUUUGUUCAAGAAUUCUUGUUCGAGCAGUCGGGAUAGAUGUUGAUCAUAUACGGGCCUCGUGCAUGCUUCCCUUCAGUGUCACCGAGCGAAAUUACCACACACACAUGCGAGGAGAGAGUUGAAAUUAAGUUGUUGACAGAAGAUAGAGAGCACAACUGAACAUAUCCAUGGUUGUUUUGUGAAUGAGCAGC
rnacentral:lncRNA from 1 species